UGGGGAAUAUUGCACAAUGGGCGCAAGCCUGAUGCAGCAACGCCGCGUGAGGGACGACGGCCUUCGGGUUGUAAACCUCUUUUAGUAGGGAAGAAGCGAAAGUGACGGUACCUGCAGAAAAAGCACCGGCUAACUACGUGCCAGCAGCCGCGGUAAUACGUAGGGUGCGAGCGUUGUCCGGAAUUAUUGGGCGUAAAGAGCUCGUAGGCGGUCUGUCGCGUCUGCUGUGAAAACCCGAGGCUCAACCUCGGGCCUGCAGUGGGUACGGGCAGACUAGAGUGCGGUAGGGGAGAAUGGAAUUCCUGGUGUAGCGGUGGAAUGCGCAGAUAUCAGGAGGAACACCGAUGGCGAAGGCAGUUCUCUGGGCCGUAACUGACGCUGAGGAGCGAAAGCGUGGGGAGCGAACAGGAUUAGAUACCCUGGUAGUCCACGCCGUAAACGUUGGGCGCUAGAUGUGGGGACCAUUCCACGGUUUCCGUGUCGCAGCUAACGCAUUAAGCGCCCGCCUGGGGAGUACGGCCGCAAGGCUAGAACUCAAAUGAA
rnacentral:rRNA from 1 species